UACGAAGGGGGGCUAGCGUUGUCCGGAUUUAUUGGGCGUAAAGAGCGCGUAGGCGGCCCUGUAAGUCCGCUGUGAAAGUCAAGGGCUCAAUCCUUGGAUGCCGGUGGAGUACUGCAGGGCUAGAGUCCGGAAGAGGCGAGUGGAAUUCCUGGUGUAGCGGUGAAAUGCGCAGAUAUCAGGAGGAACACCGAUGGCGAAGGCAGCUCGCUGGG
rnacentral:rRNA from 1 species